AAACAAACAGACAUGUAAUAUCCAAGUGUUUCACACCACAUGGUUAGCAUGUUAAAGGAGCAGACACGUACUAUUCAUGCGUUCCACACCACAAGGUUAGUAGCCAAACGAGCAGACACCUAAUAUUCAUGUGUUCCACACCACAAGGUUAGCACGCCAAACAAGCAGACAUUUAAUAAUCAUGUGUUCCACACCACAAGAUAAGCACGCCAAACAAGCAGAUAUGUGAUAUAUAUGUGUUCAAAACUAAAAGGUUAGCAUGUUAAACGAGCAGACACGUAAUAUUCAUGUGUUC
rnacentral:lncRNA from 1 species